rnacentral:lncRNA from 1 species
AUAGACGAUGAGAUUGGCUAAGAAAAGAAAAAGAAAAGGUAAAACUAUUCACUCUCGUGAAUGGGCAGUCCGCAGGCUUUACUUGGCUUUUUCUGAGGAGAAACUUAUCUCUUAGCCAAUAAUAUUAUGUUACGCGAAAAUAUUAUUACAUGUCUCAUAACGUUAUUGUUCGGAAGUCAAAAUCUUUCUCCAGAUUGAGACGUCGCACUGUUUUAUCUUUCUUUUUUUCAAAAGAGACGUCGAUUGUUGGGUCCCACCGUUUUGAUGAAAUAGUUUGACGUCUGGAGUGGUUCCACAUCAGCUAACUGCUGACCCACAUUUCCCAAGGACCAAGUGUGGCUCACGAGUCAUGCCUCUAAUCUCUAUCGACUCAAUAUUACAAGUGUGGCUCACAAGCCUAAAUUAUAUUUUUGGUUUUUGUAGAUAAUACCAAUUUAUGAGACGUUUGGGUGUUCCUUCUAUUUUGCAUAUGCUUGAAGGGAAAUGUAAUAUAGUUGCUUAUGUAUUGGCUCGUUUUGUUUUGAGAGAAAGGAAAAUAUAAAAUAAAAGAUAAAAGAUAAAAGAAUCUGACAUAUUUUUAUUUUCACUCUAUUUUAAGGUUCUUUUCUCUUGUUUACAAUAUUGAUUUCACUAAGAAAAUAACAUGAUCAACAACUCAUUAUGCUAAAAAAAAAAAAAUUUCUACGUAUAUAUUUAAUCAUAAUUUGCUAUUGAUCCAAAACUUCUAGUCGAUAGAACUAUCAAUUCUUAAUUUAUAGGAAUAAGGGAACGAGAGGAAUUUUAAGACAAUUAGAGAAACAAAAAGAAGAAGCUAAGGAACUGCUUUUGAGUUCUACUUUUAG